GGGAGUGAAAAAGAACCUGAAACCGUGUACGUACAAGCAGUGGGAGCACGCUUAGGCGUGUGACUGCGUACCUUUUGUAUAAUGGGUCAGCGACUUAUAUUCUGUAGCAAGGUUAACCGAAUAGGGGAGCCGAAGGGAAACCGAGUCUUAACUGGGCGUUAAGUUGCAGGGUAUAGACCCGAAACCCGGUGAUCUAGCCAUGGGCAGGUUGAAGGUUGGGUAACACUAACUGGAGGACCGAACCGACUAAUGUUGAAAAAUUAGCGGAUGACUUGUGGCUGGGGGUGAAAGGCCAAUCAAACCGGGAGAUAGCUGGUUCUCCCCGAAAGCUAUUUAGGUAGCGCCUCGUGAAUUCAUCUCCGGGGGUAGAGCACUGUUUCGGCAAGGGGGUCAUCCCGACUUACCAACCCGAUGCAAACUGCGAAUACCGGAGAAUGUUAUCACGGGAGACACACGGCGGGUGCUAACGUCCGUCGUGAAGAGGGAAACAACCCAGACCGCCAGCUAAGGUCCCAAAGUCAUGGUUAAGUGGGAAACGAUGUGGGAAGGCCCAGACAGCCAGGAUGUUGGCUUAGAAGCAGCCAUCAUUUAAAGAAAGCGUAAUAGCUCACUGGUCGAGUCGGCCUGCGCGGAAGAUGUAACGGGGCUAAACCAUGCACCGAAGCUGCGGCAGCGACACUAUGUGUUGUUGGGUAGGGGAGCGUUCUGUAAGCCUGCGAAGGUGUGCUGUGAGG
rnacentral:rRNA from 1 species